UAACUUUUGCAGAGUAUGCCCUCAUAUUUUGCAUGCUUGCUGUUCAGACCAGUUGGGUAGAGGACACACUAAAGCUGCAAUUUGUCGAGGAUUGAAUUAGAAUUUGAAUUAGAUAAGAAUUAGCUUGUCGUGAUGAGUGGGGGGAAUUUUAAAAGGUUUAAUGGAACUCACAAUUCAAAUCGACAACCUUGUGCGAUUACGACGACCUGCACACACCACACAAAGCCUCUGCAUGACCCCUGGAACUAGUCCUGAACCAAUGCAGCUAGACUAUACUCACCUUUCCUCUGAAAAACAAGAGUGAUGGAUUCAGCUACAUCUAUGCAUGUACUGUGGUCAGGCCGGCCAUCUAAAAUUCUCCUGCCCUGUUUGACCCACCACAGAGAAUCUCAGAACGAAACCGUUUUUGGAGGCCUUCAAUGACAGAGGAUACUGCCAUCUUUUUUAAUAACUGCACCUUAUGCAUCACCUCUAAACCAUUAUGCCAAGAGCCAGCCAGCCUGCUUCAAACAUUACUAAUACCUCAAUGGUCACAAAUAGCAAUUUUCUUCGUAACCGAUUUACAUUUAACAAAUUACCUAACUCAUUUAGUAGCACCACUGUAAUAGACAGUUUCACCAAGACUCAACCCCUUUGUCCAUGCUUUUGUCGACUUUCGAAACUACUGAGACCUUAUAUAACUACGUCUUCCAGUUCCAUGGCCUACCCAAGGACAUUGUGUCAGUUGGGGUUCCACAAUUCAUGUGGAAAUUAUGAUUUUGGACAGCCUUUUUCAGACUCCUCAAUGUUAGCAUAAUCCUCAUAUCCGGAUACCAUCCACAGUCUAAUUGACAGACAGAACGACUCAACUAGGAGCUCACUCACUUUCUCAGAAUGUAUUGCCAAAAUAAUCAAGCAGAAUGGAGCAAAUUCCUCAUGUGAGCUGAGUAUGCUGAAAGCUCCCUUCUGAAACCUGCUACUGGACUAACCCCUUUAGAAUGCAUGCUGGGCUUCCAACCACCUCUCUUCCCCUGGUCAGGUGAACCUUUCAACAUGUCUUCUGUCACCAAAUGGCUAUGCCGAAGUAAGGAGACCUGGAAUCGUACAAACAUUAAUUUGCAAAGAGCAGUGAGAUGACUGGAGGAACAAGCUGAUCAUCAUCAUCGUCAUCCGGAAGCCGAGUAUACCACAGGGCAAUGUGUUUGGCUAUCUUCCAGAGACAUCCACCUCCAAAUCUCCUGCAAGAAGCUCAGUCAUAGCUGUUAAAACCUGCUGGUGGUCCAAGAGAGAGUUGGAGAGCCAGGAAACCGAGGUCCAAGCGCUCCCGCCCAUUCUGGUCGACGACAAGGAGGUGUACGAUGUCCGAAUGAUGCUUGACUCUCAACUCUGGGGCAAGUACUUCAGUAUCUUGUCAACUGGGAGGGGUAUAUUCCAGAGGAAAGGUCCUGGGCAAUACAAGGGACAUUCUUGACCCCUCACUUAUAGGACACAUUUGGAGAAGCCGACCUGGCAACCACAAGGAAGACCACUGGUGAUAAUUUCUGAGCAUUAUUCUGUUUCUUGGCCUGCCUGUGUAGUAACCUUGACUGCGGAUUCUGAUUCUGGCUGCCUGUCCUGACCCCUUUUGCCAGUUUAUUGCUUGUGAAUGCUUACUGCCUUCGCUUUCGUCUGCCCGACUCCUAGA